rnacentral:misc_RNA from 1 species
AGAGAAAAAAUAGGAGCCACAGCCUUCAUAAAGACAUUAAGAUAACAGUUCAAUAGAAAGUAAGAGGCUAGAAUAACUAAAGCAAAUAUAAAGAAGAAUCCAAAAAUAUCAUUACAAGAUUUUUCAAAAAAACUUUUUUCAUCUACUUAAAUAUAAUAAUUCUCUGUUCUCCAUUUAGGAUAAAAAAGGGUACAUUAACCAAAAGCAUUUGACAUAAAAUGCCUUCAGAUAGUGUACUGAUAAACUGGUCCGAUGUUCAGGUUUAACGCUGUUCUUAAGUUCAUCAUAUCCAAAAAAAAAAAAAAA